CCUACGGGAGGCAGCAGUGGGGAAUAUUGGACAAUGGGCGAAAGCCUGAUCCAGCAAUGCCGCGUGAGUGAUGAAGGCCUUAGGGUUGUAAAGCUCUUUUACCCGAGAUGAUAAUGACAGUAUCGGGAGAAUAAGCUCCGGCUAACUCCGUGCCAGCAGCCGCGGUAAUACGGAGGGAGCUAGCGUUGUUCGGAAUUACUGGGCGUAAAGCGCACGUAGGCGGCUUUUUAAGUCAGGGGUGAAAUCCCGGGGCUCAACCCCGGAACUGCCCUUGAAACUGGGAAGCUAGAAUCUUGGAGAGGCGAGUGGAAUUCCGAGUGUAGAGGUGAAAUUCGUAGAUAUUCGGAAGAAACACCAGUGGCGAAGGCGACUCGCUGGACAAGUAUUGACGCUGAGGUGCGAAAAGCGUGGGGAGCAAAACAGGAUUAGAUACCCUGGUAGUCCACGCCGUAAACGAUGAUAAACUAGAUGUUCGGUUCGUAUAGAACGUUAGGGUUGGGUCGGCGAGACUAACGACAACUUAAAGUUUAAUUACCGUCCGUCGGGUAGGGUACGGGUACGGUCGAAGAAAGUUAAAAACGUUAAAAAUUAAAGUAAAGUUAAGUAACGGACGUAAGUAGAACGUUAGACGAAACGGAACGAACGAACCGAACGGGGAAGGAGGAGG
rnacentral:rRNA from 1 species